rnacentral:misc_RNA from 1 species
UACGGGGGGAGCAAGCGUUGUUCGGAAUCACUGGGCGUAAAGGGUGCGCAGGCGGGAGGAUAGGUCGAAUGUGAAAACCCUGGGCUCAACCCAGGGCCUGCAUCCGAAACCAUUCUUCUUGAGUAUCGGAGAGGGAAGCGGAACUCCAGGUGUAGCGGUGAAAUGCGUAGAUAUCUGGGGGAACACCGGUGGCGAAGGCGGCUUCCUGGACGAAUACUGACGCUCAUGCGCGAAGGCUAGGGGAGCAAACAGG